ensembl:lncRNA
UGUUUUUUCGAUUCGAUUUUUAUUGAUCAUAGGCACACAUGUAGAGUGUCUGUCAGUUUGCAUACCACUACAGGGUGACAUUAAAUAGCAAUAAAUAGAUUUUAUUUAUUAAAAAAAAAAGGUGGUAGUAGUAGAAGGUGGUGGCACCUGUUGCAUACAAAUUUCUAAAUACAUAUUAAGCCUAAUCCUAGAUUGAAGAGCGUUUUAAUUAGUAAUCUCCUGUAGCUGUGAUUUUACAAGACUAGGCUUAAUCUGUCCUUUUACAACCAGCCUGUUUGGUACACGAAUCCUACGGUUGUACUGUUGGAUUAAUCCCGUUGCUCCUCUGGUUCAUCCUGAAGUGAAGAGAAAAAAAAAUUAAGAUGUGUCUGAGGAUAUAAAUACAAACGCAUUUUUUUUUGGACAGUUAUCACUAAAACGUAAAACCAUCAAUUAAAAUCAUGUGGAAGUUAUUUAGCGAUUUAGGUCAGAAUGCUCACCUUUCUGCUCUUUCUGCCUGACAGGUAUAAGCUACCAAUGCGGUCCAAGGGAACGGUCACCCUCAGUCUACAGGAAGGAAAGCAAAGUAAAUUAAAUUGAAUGGACUCUGGGUUCAUUCAUCUGUUGACCUGCACAACUAGCAAUCCUUUAUGAAGAAACAAAGCAAAAGGCAUUAAUGUUUCUAUUUUGAGUUUUCUAUUUUAACUUGAGAGUAUUAGUAUGAAGCCUUUUGUCCCCCCGCUUCUUUCUUCACCUCUUGUCCUUGUUCCUGUGAUGUGUGUUGGUGUGAGGUGUUGAAAUGCGUUCCACAGGGACAGAGAAGGAGGGUGAGGAUCGGGCUGGGUUAGGCUCCCAGUCACGGGUCAUUUCCCCGCCGUUAUCAGGAACGAGUUCUACUAGAUCCGAGAGUUCUGACAGGUGAGAAGACAGAUCCCGACCCAACCGGUGGCUGCUCUACAGAGGAGAAAUGGAGAUAGGAGAUCAUUAAUUAUGAUUAAUAGCACGAUCACCACAAAUGUACAUUCUGGUGGAUAGUGAAACUCUGUGAUUUGAUCGAAAAUUAGACAAAUUAUUGCUCAUUUGACUUUUCAAUUCUAUGAAAACAAAGGCUUGUUCUACAAUUAUAACAAAAAUGUAAAACCACAUGGAGGUUGAUGUUUUGCAGCACUUACUCUACUCAGCUGUAGCCUGUCUGGUAGCAGGAAUGAAUACACCUCGUCCAUUAAAAAGCACAGCGCCAAGAUGGGCAGGAAAGACUUGUGUGACAACAUCUGAAACAAACACCAUGAAAUACAAAACACUUCAAAUCUACAGUGUGCAAAACACUGUAAAACUGGAUAAGUUCAUUUAACUAAAAAAAUUUGAGGAAACUAAUUAGCUCAUUUUUUAAGUUAAUAAAUCAAAUUUUUUAUGCCAAAUACACUUAAAUAUAACAAGUUUGAGUUCAAUCUUUGUUAUAUUUAAGUGUAUUUGGCUUAAAGAAAUAGAUUUAUUAACAUAAAAAUUUUGAGUUAAAUGAACUAUCUGCUUUACAGUGAACAAUAUAAGAUCCUUUUUUUCAGUUAAAGUGCAUAAAUGUUCAGGAUGACCAUACACAUCAAACUAUAAUGUCUAAAAAUAAAUAAAUAAAAGACGCACAAAGUACAAAUUACUCAUUUAAUAAUUAAAUCAUUUCAGAUUUUUUUGGUUUGGCAUUUCACAAUGAAAACAUUUUUAAUUCUUCAUCCGCAUACCUUAAUGCAUUGCGGACAAACACUCGUAAGUGUUAAAUACAAGGUUAAAAGGUUCAGAAAGUGUAAUGAAGUGAUUUCCUGCUUUACCUUUUCAGUAGCUUAUUCAGGAACUCAGGAAGGUUGCUUCUUGGUCUCAGUGAUGCUGUCCUCUGUAGGUUUGCAGUGAGCAUUGAGUAUUUGUAGACAUGAAGAUGGGGUGGGUUUAUAUGUUCAGAGGAUGGCAGGAUGAUUAUAGCCAGGGUAUGUGUGUGUGUGUGUGUGAGGUGAAUUCACCCACCCACCAGUCC